UCUUCUGACAAAUUGGGAGUUAGUUAUUCUCCAAGGAAAGAGUUCCCUUAUGACCUCAACUUUUGGAGGAUCUUUCUUUUGUUGCCGGGUGAACCACAAAGCUUGUUUUCCAAGCGAUGCUUCCAAGCCAUCGUCCACUUAAGCGAAUGGUAUAUCACUUAAGAUUAGAGUAUCAUAUGGACAGACUGAAGAUCAAUGUUGAAUACUUCAACAUUUUUUUCUUCAUUUUUGUUCAUCAUUCUAUCGGCAAGUUGAAUAAGUCUUCACACCUGUCUACCGGAAGGCUUUCCUCAGGACUUUACCUAAGUUGAGCUACUUUUUGGGCCAUCUAGCAAAAGCCUAACGAACUGGCCCUGAUUCAAGUUGGAAGAGAAAAGUGCUGGUAUGAUCAAUACCACUUCCUCCUUGGGCUAGCAGAUCCUGCGAUUUGUCUUUUUUCUCUAUAGAAAAUAUGUAAGAAAAAAGGUUGUAUCAGCUGAAAUAAUUCAAUGAGGAGAAUAAUCGGCAGAGCUAUGAUGCCAAAAUCAAAACAUCUCUCUGCUAACAAGUCCGUCCAUUUAAGAAAAUCUUGCCAUCCCAUAGAAGAGACUGUGCAACAUAAACUGAAGCCAAUUCAGUGAAAAAUGAUUGAAACCCGAAAUUCAUAAUUAGAACUUGGAGUAGGAGGAGCACUCGUGUAGAACCGGAUGCAAUCACCGCCGGUCUCAAAAGCAAAGAGGGCCACAUAGCCUAACUCCGAGCUUGGUUA